rnacentral:rRNA from 1 species
CCGUGAUAACGUAGCAUAAUCAUUCGCCACCUAAUUAGUGGAUAGUAUGAAUGGUAAAACGAGUAUAACACUCUCUCAGAAGGAAGUUUUAUGAAAUUGGAAUGGUAGUCAAGAUACUACCUAAAACUGUAAGACGAAAAGACCCUAUAGAGCUUAACUACACCUUUCUCACAAAGUUAAGUUCACUUAAGUUCAAGAAAGAUUGGUAGUUUAGUUGGGGCGACUGCUUUCUAGUAAAAACGAAAGCAAGCAAUAUUAAUUAUCUAAUUUACUGUCUAAUCUAUGUGUUUAACAGUUAUAAAAAUAGGCAAUAGUGACCCGUUAGUAACAAAAAACACCACUAACGAACAAUAAAUAAAAGCUACCUUAGGGAUAACAGGAUAAUCUUGUUCCAGAGACCCUAUCGAAAACAAGGUUUGUCACCUCUAUGUUGAAUUAAGAUAUCCUAGAAGUGUAGAAGCUUCUGAGG